GCAGAAACAUUGAAAUCACAGCUCUUGGCAGAUUUCCUGUCACUUGCCAGUUAUCCAUGUACCUGGGUGCUCAGUGACAUGAUGAUGUGUUGCAGGCCGACUGGCGUGGACCACAUGGCUUCCCCACUGGUUCAAACGUCACGGAGCAGGUUCCCCCCGAUAGGCACGGAGACCAGGGAGCAGAAUACAGCAGUUCCUGGAUGCCGCCUUGUUUCUUACAGAGGAAGGCAUCUACAAACCCGUGUGUCGAGUGCCAUGCCUGACGGUACAGAACGAUCGCGUCUUCGAGAAAGAACAGCCACCCUGGAACAGUUGUCAAGGCCCAGCACAACCCACACGUUCCGGUCGGAUACGCCUCGAAAAAGUUCAUUGACACAAAUGGAAUUUGCUGCUCACACAUGGACAGGUCAAAGUAUUUUGACAGAGGACAACUUUGACUUUCAAGAAGAGAUUCCAAGUGACAUCUUGAAACCACCUCACCAGAACCAUUGGAGCACUCGUGGCCUCAGCACACUGCUUAUCACUUGAAAAAUGGAGGAACAAGUGUUAUAUUUAUCUGUGUGUCUGACAGUGUGAGAUGUUAGACCGAGAGAAAAGCAAACAAAUAAAUCACUUAAUCUUGAACACUUUGCACUGUAAAGAGAGUGAAAGUCAAACCCACCAAGCUGCCUUGCUGAAAGCAUCUCCAAGGUUCUGUAGGCUUUGUUCAGAAGACCCUGAUGUGUGUUUGCAGUCCGUCAUUUUAUCAAUGAUACACAAACAUAAUUAGCAUGUGUAUGUACUCACACACUAAUUACAUGUAAGAAUAUAUUAUCUAGGAAUAUGUCAUUUGUAACUUUGUACUCUGACGUAUUUUCUAGUCUCACCCUAUUAGUAAUUCUGUCAAAAUCCUAGACACUAGUAGAUAUUAGUAUUUGAGACAAUAUGUCAGAGUCUGAAUAAGACUCAGCUUGUUCUAGUCACGCUGAGUUUCUCAUACAUUUUUUAAAAGUGCUUCCGCCAUGAACCUCUUUGAGAAAUGUCAGUGGCAAAAUCUCCCAAGCUAAUUUUCUUUUUCUAUGUUCCAUCUUCAAAUUCAGACAGUUCACGUGAAGUACCCCACAUUUAUUGAUCUUAGGGUUGAAUAUAAACGUAAUUAAAAGCUAUGGCAGGUGAUGUCAUCUUUAUUGUUUACAGUUGAAGCUCCUCCAUGGUAGGGGAGCCUCCCACCCUCCACGUGCCAUCGGGAGCUGGCCUUUGCCCAGACGCCACCACUGCAAUGACACCUUCCCAGAGCCCUCAUCUCCUUGCGCUCUGUCCUGCUCGGCCUGGCUUUUCUUCAGAGUGUGUUUCCCCAUCUGACAUUACUGUAGAAAAUGGAGCAGAGAACAGGAAGGGGAAUUAGCAGAGGUGAGGCUCCAGGCAUGUCUUCCUCUUGUCCCUCUCCCCACUGUUUCUCUUGAUUGUGAUUCAAGUCCUUACACUCAUUUUUACAUUCUCAGAUCUCAAAUCAGC
rnacentral:lncRNA from 1 species